CUUUCGUGUUUUACGCCACGCACGAGUUUGUGUAGGGGCUCGAGUUACACAUCUGAAGACUGACGGAGGUUUUGUUCUGGUUUAUCAGAUUACACGAAGAAAGGUUUUGAAGUUAUCCGGUCUGGGCCGCUUUGCAGAAACAUCGCGCACUCAACACUUGUUGCUGUGUCGGUGACGGGCCGUUAUUCAGCUCUCUGGUCCCCGGGGUACAGCUGCUAAGACACGCCCCCCUCCACAUAUCCCCACGUGACUUCUGAGAGCUGUCGCUCGCGAGGUGUGCAAAGAGACGCUCGUGCACUGUUUGGGACAGGAGAUACUCUCAGUGUCCAUACUAUGGCUGAUGAAGGGCAUGAUGUCACCUUUGAGGUGGGGAGCGGCCAGCAGACGGCUUCACUGGGUUAUGACGAGGAGGCGUCUGUGUCCUCCACUGACCUCAGCUGCACAGUUGAUAAGUCAGUCGUUGACCCAUUAGCCCCCGCUGCCAGUUCCACCUUUAUCCAGUCCGACCAGAAGCCGACAGGAAUGAUUUCUUAUGA